UGAGCUGUUUCUAAUCUCCCAAUGGAAGGCC
rnacentral:piRNA from 1 species